rnacentral:rRNA from 1 species
AAUGCCUGGGAAAUUGCCCUGAUUCCUCGGGGAUAACCAUUGGAAACGAUGGCUAAUACCGCAUAAUAGCUUCGGCUCAAAGAGGGGGACCUUCGGGCCUCUCGCGUCAGGAUAUGCCCAGGUGGGAUUAGCUAGUCACUCCGGUAAAGGCUCACCAAGGCAACGAUCCCUAGCUGGUCUGAGAGGAUGAUCAGCCACACUGGAACUGAGACACGGUCCAGACUCCUACGGGAGGCAGCAGUGGGGAAUAUUGCACAAUGGGCGCAAGCCUGAUGCAGCCAUGCCGCGUGUAUGAAGAAGGCCUUCGGGUUGUAAAGUACUUUCAGCAGUGAGGAAGGUGGUGUAGUUAAUAGCUGCAUCAUUUGACGUUAGCUGCAGAAGAAGCACCGGCUAACUCCGUGCCAGCAGCCGCGGUAAUACGGAGGGUGCGAGCGUUAAUCGGAAUUACUGGGCGUAAAGCGCAUGCAGGUGGUUUGUUAAGUCAGAUGUGAAAGCCCGGGGCUCAACCUCGGAAUAGCAUUUGAAACUGGCAAACUAGAGUACUGUAGAGGGGGGUAGAAUUUCAGGUGUAGCGGUGAAAUGCGUAGAGAUCUGAAGGAAUACCAGUGGCGAAGGCGGGCCCCCUGGACAGAUACUGACACUCAGAUGCGAAAGCGUGGGGGAGCAAACAGG